GGUGCUUUCCAUGCAAGUCGAACGGCAGCGCGGGGCAACCUGGCGGCGAGUGGCGAACGGGUGAGUAAUAUAUCGGAACGUACCCAAGAGUGGGGGAUAACGUAGCGAAAGUUACGCUAAUACCGCAUACGAUCCAAGGAUGAAAGUGGGGGCUCGCAAGACCUCAUGCUCCUGGAGCGGCCGAUAUCUGAUUAGCUAGUUGGUGAGGUAAAGGCUCACCAAGGCGACGAUCAGUAGCUGGUCUGAGAGGACGACCAGCCACACUGGGACUGAGACACGGCCCAGACUCCUACGGGAGGCAGCAGUGGGGAAUUUUGGACAAUGGGCGCAAGCCUGAUCCAGCAAUGCCGCGUGAGUGAAGAAGGCCUUCGGGUUGUAAAGCUCUUUUGUCAGGGAAGAAACGGCUGGGGUUAAUACCUCCGGCUAAUGACGGUACCUGAAGAAUAAGCACCGGCUAACUACGUGCCAGCAGCGCGGGG
rnacentral:rRNA from 1 species